UACGAAGGGGGCUAGCGUUGCUCGGAAUCACUGGGCGUAAAGGGCGCGUAGGCGGCUUUGUAAGUCGGGGGUGAAAGCCUGUGGCUCAACCACAGAAUUGCCUUCGAUACUGCAUGGCUUGAGACCGGAAGAGGUAAGUGGAACUGCGAGUGUAGAGGUGAAAUUCGUAGAUAUUCGCAAGAACACCAGUGACGAAGGCGGCUUACUGGUCCGGUUCUGACGCUGAGGCGCGAAAGCUAGGGGAGCAAACGGG
rnacentral:rRNA from 1 species